CACGUAGGGCGCAAGCGUUGUCCGGAAUUAUUGGGCGUAAGAGCUCGUAGGCGGUCUGUUGCGUCCGCUGUGAAAACUCGGGGCUUAACCCCGAGCCUGCAGUGGAUACGGGCAGACUAGAGGUAGGUAGGGGAGAAUGGAAUUCCCGGUGUAGCGGUGAAAUGCGCAGAUAUCGGGAGGAACACCGGUGGCGAAGGCGGUUCUCUGGGCCUUACCCUGACGCUGAGGAGCGAAAGCGUGGGGAGCGAACAGG
rnacentral:rRNA from 1 species